CGUGCACCGUAUGAGUUUUUUGGUGUCUGGAAACCACCUUUUUUCGGGCAAUCUUGCCAAAGGAAAAGUGUGGCUACUGGAUUGGUUAUCGUGCAUACACGUCGAUCGACGGGCAGUUUACAGUACAGUGACUAUGUCCUUAUUUCGAAGUGAGAGAGAGAGUUGCUUUGCAUGCAGUUCACAAUACAUUAUUCUCUCUUUCUUCAGUGGAGAGUAGCUACAGAGAGAUCGAUCUCCAGCUCUGGCCCGCUCCUGGAUUGGCGAUGACGUUCAAGAAAUCCGUUUUGUCUCCAAAUUUGAGUCAGGCACGCGCGAUGCAAGUCAGUUCAAGGAUAUUAUUGACGAAAUCUCCUUCCAAACUGUUGACUCAAAUCAAGAUCUCCACAGCCUUUCGUUCUCGCUCUCAGAGAUCUUCGUCAAAAUCGUUUGUCGACUGGGAAGACGUAAAACUGUGCGUCCAUCAUCCACUUGCGCUGCUGGCUGCGACUCCGCAAGGACGCGGGGCUUCGCUUUUCUUUCGCGAGUUUCCAUCGAAGCAAGGUCCAUAACUCUUGAUUGAAUAAGGAAAAUUACCAAUACAUGCUGAAAACUUCAUCAUAAGAACAGAAAGAAAGAUACGUCGAAUGUAAGCAGUGUUUUGAUGAAACGAACAUGCCUGGAGUGGACUAGUGAAGCACCUGUUGUUGACGCUUGUGGCUCAAUGUAGCUGAACCAUCGGACCUUAUUUGUCAGCUUGGAUCACGUGAUCCAUCCAGCUGCCGCGUGCGGCAAACAGCACAAAUAGCGCCAACUCUGGCCUGCGAGAGUUUGCUGCGACUAGCGCGCUAGCGCUCUUGACAUACUACAAACGCGCUAGCCAGAAUGCUUUGACUUUGAUGGCUUUCAGCUUCUAUUUUUUGAAAAGUAGCGCGCUCAGACCAGCUCGCUCACUCUUUUCCUCUUCCAUUUUUUAGGGCAAUUGUUAUGUUUGAUAGACGAAGCUUAGGGUCUCUUUGGGUUUGCAACCCUUACCCUCCUGGAAAAAAUCAUAGUUGCUAGACUGCGACACUUCAGACCAGGUACUAUUAGAGCCGCUAAUGGACGACGAGCUAUUUUCCGCUAUCCGGAGCUCAAGCAUUUGAGCCGCUAAAUGGACGAGACUCCUGGGGUAAAGGAUGCAGAGAAUGAGAAGAAAACACUCGUAUGGAGCAAGGAGUAGGUAUUGUACUACUUCCUGGUAUGGAGCACUGAGAAGCGCUUGGUGACAUCGUCCAAGAUCGACAGGGAUGGCGGGUCACCUGCCGUGACGCUGUCGACGCUAUUGUCCAGUCCCGCAUGGAGCCUGUGGCGAAGCCCCUCAUUUGUGGCACUCGUGCGCGCAGUUUUCGUCGGCCACAGGAUAUUGCGAGGCACAAGUGUAACGCUGUUCGCGCGGCCCGCACGUGCUGAGUAUGGCGUUCCCCGCCCGGUGGACAACACGUCUCCUGGUCUGCCCCGUAUGGGGCCACAUGGCAGUGGAAGAAGGAAGGAAGGAAGGAAGCUCUCACCGUCCAGGAGCGACACUGACUCGCACUGCUAUCUGGUGCUCACGAGGUGUCGGUCGCGCUGCAAACGGA